AGGGCUCCCCAGGGGGGCCCGGCCCUCGUGGAGAUCCGGGAGAGCGAGGACCUCGAGGCCCAAAGGGGGAGCCGGGAGAGCCCGGCCGAGUGGCGGGGGGCGAUGGCCCUUCCUGGACC